UGGUCUCCCAUUCCCUUUAGAGGUUCAUGA
rnacentral:piRNA from 1 species